rnacentral:lncRNA from 1 species
CCUAAAACUAACACUAACUACAUAGUAAUUCCCUCCACCAUUUCGUGCAACACUAGCAGUACAGUAAUACAUACGUACCUCUCUCACUUCGUAGUCCAAAAUACCACCCCAAAAAACUUUCGCAGCUAGACCCUCUCCGAAGACAAAAAUUCCAAGAACGGCCUCUCGUCACGCGGCGGCGGUUCCCUCAACGUCGACCUCGCCCGCCCCGGCGGCGGAGGCGGCCUCUUCGGCCGCCGGCGCCUCGCGGUCGUAGGGGGACAGCCACUUGGCCCGCAUGUACUCGGGCUUGCGCCACGGCGGGAGGUGCAGGCCGCGCUUCUUCAGGCUGGCGCGCGCGGCGUCGGCGGCGGCGGCCACGAGGAGGCGGAGCCGGUCGUCCUUGCCCACGAACACCGCCGGCAGCCGCUGCAGCAGGGACCGGUACGCCUUGGUCGGCCGCGCCACCUCGAACGCGGACCGGAAGUCCACGUCCACCAGGACACGCUCCCGCGCGCCGCGGUCGGACGCCGCCGGGAGGAGCACGUCGACGUACGCGUGCUCGCCGGCGGGGUGGGAGGGGGACUUGUCCCAGCGGGAGACGCAGACGGCGGCGUCGUGCCCCGCGGCGCGGAGCGAGGCGGCGACGAGGCGGAGCAGGUCGCGCCGGCGCGCACCCGCCGCGCGGUGGCGCUCCAGGUGCGCGCAGACGUCGGCGAGGAGGUUGCGUUCCCGGAGCGUCGCGCAGUGGACGAGGCCCUGGAGACGGCGGCGCGAGACGGUUAGAAAUCACCUCUUGCGCUCUCGAUGGCGGCCACCGCCCACCAAAAUUGUUGAAGCCAAGGAACCAAGCUACUACCUUGAUCGUCUCCGCGACGUCGGAGGCCGCCGCCGCAGCUUCCUCGUCCUCCUCGUCGUCGGAAUUGUCGCCUCCGUGGAAGCAGUUGCAGUACCGCCCGCCGUGGCCUGGCUUCUCGGCGCCCGCGCCGACGCCGUCCUCCAAGAAGCUUCGAACCAUGCCGUCCAGGCACACGGAGCUCGGCUCCGCCUCAUCCUUCUCUCCCGCUGCCGCAGCUGACGGUAGCCGCUCCGCUGGCGAGAUCCGCAGGAGUUGGCGAUCGAACAGCCGCUUCA